UGAGGGAGCGGGAAGAUGGCGCUGGGCGCCCGCCAGGGCCGGCGCUGGGGCGGCCGUGCCGCGCUCGUGCGGCCCGAGCCGGGGCGGCGGCGCGUCCCGGGGCGGGCGGAACCGCCAGGGUGCUCAGCCCGGCCCUACGCGGCGGGCGGCGGCGGGGCGGAGGCGGCGGGCGGGGCGGAGCUGCUGGAGGUGUGCUGGCGGCGGCGCUUCCUGCGCGGCGGCGCGGGGCCGCUGCCCUGGCGCGCCUACCUGAGCGGGCAGCACCCGGGGCUCGGCCCGCUGGGCGCGGCCCUGCGCGCCAACCUGGCGGCGCAGUGGUGGGACUCGGCCAUACCCCCGCGGGAGCAGGUGUUCGCCGUGGAUGCCCCGCUCCACGGCCCGCCCGGAGCCCCGCGGGACGCGCGGGGGCUGCGGCUGCUGCAGCCGGAGGCGCUGCGGGACGCCCUGCAGGGCUGUGGGCACAGCCCGGCCCUGGACCAGGUGCUGGGCACCGCGGGGGUGCUGCGGGAGAGCCUUCUGCCCGGUGUUCUGGCUCAGUAUGUCAGCUGCUUAGAGCUGGUGAACAAAAGACUGCCCUGUGGCCUGGCUCAGAUUGGAGUGUGCUUUCACUCUCUUCCAGAAAGUGAACAACCCAAGGAAAACCUUACAAGAAUAGGAGAGAGGACCACGUCCUUGCUUGCAUGGUUUAGUUCUCCCAGAACUUCAGGACAGUGGCUCGAUUACUGGCUACGCCAGAGGCUCCAGUGGUGGAGAAAGUUUGCAGUAGGCCCAUCUAACUUCAGCAGCAGUGACUUUCAUGAUGAAGAAGGCAGAAGAGGAUUUAAGUUACAUUACAAGUUUCCUUGGGGGACAGAAACAAUAGAAACACUGAAGAACCUUGGUGAUACUGAACUGUUACAGAUGUAUCCAGGGGAAAGUUCAAAAUUACUUGGCCGAGAUGGAAGGAAGAAUGUUAUUCCUCAUGUUCUGUCUAUGAAUGGAAACCUGGACCGAGGAGUCUUGGCCUAUCUCUUUGAUUCCCUGCAGCUGGCUGAGAAUCCAUUAACAACAAAGAAAAAUUCACAGAGAAAGGUACUUAAGCUACAUCCUUGUUUAGCACCUCUUAAAGUGGCCUUGGACGUAGGAAAAGGUCCAACAACAGAGCUGAGACAGGUUUGUCAAGGACUGUUCAAUGAACUGACAGAAAACAGAAUUUCUGUGUGGCCAGGUUAUCUUGAAACUGUGCCAGUGUCUCUGGAACAGCUUUAUACAAAGUACGAUGAGAUGAGCAUUCUCUUCAUGAUCUUGAUAACUGAUGCCACUCUGGAGAACGGGGUGGUCCAGCUGAGGAGCAGAGACACCACCAUGAAGGAAAUGAUGCACAUUUCUAGGCUGAAGGACUUUCUAACUAAAUAUGUGACGUCAGCCAAAAAUGUGAAUGUGUUUUAAUCACGUGGCCCCAGUUCUUCAGCAUUCAAGCUACUUCAUCUUGCACUUGAUAAACAUAAAAGUCAGAAGCUGUGGGUGGGAUGCUGAGUGAUCCCUGGCACAAGCAGCUGCACAGCAGGGCAGUGAGGACCUUACCUGUGUACUGCAGGAUCAGGAAGGCAGGUUAGUUUGGAGAGAAUUACUCCAUUUUGAUAUUCAGAAAUGGGAAACAUAAUGCCCUUGCUAUUGGUUUGGUUUGGGGGUUUCUUUUUCCCCUUCGAAAGAGACAUUCACAUAUAGAGCAAAUAUAGAAAACUCCCAAGUUCAGAGCAUUGUGGCUAUUGGAGAAUGCCUUUGCUAUUGUGUAUUUUCUGCAGCUGAAGCAGCACAAUAUCUUAAGUCAGUUGCUUUGUUGUCACUUCAUAAUUUAAGUUUGAACUGAGUCUUGUCAAACUUCAGAAACAUGGAAUAAAGAGCAGAAGCACUGAACAAUUUUGAACAGAAUGCAGGAGCUACAUAAGUUUUAUUUUGCUACAGCUCCAUAUAGCCCUUUGUUGGCUCUUAGUAAAUACAUGGAAUCUCAUUUCAUUUAAGCAGCUGCAGUUUUGGCUGCAUGGCUGACAGGUGAUGCCAAAUAUGGAUUCUGAGGGAAUCCAUAUAUGAGGCUCCUGCAGUGCCUGAAGAACUGUGCCCAUACCAUCCUGACUGCAGGGGGGUGACAUGAACUUACCAAUCUCUGCAUAGAUGACAUCAUUUUCAGUCUCCUCCACAUUCACUGUUGAUGUAAAGCCAGUUGAGGGCCUGGUAGACUUAUAUUUUUCUGCAAAUUGUAAAAGAAAAACACGUGUGUAUACCUGUAUCAGUUUUUCUUAAAAGGGAUGUAAACAGUUUCAUGGUAUUUUUUGAAUAUUUGGAGACCUCAGAUAAUGUUAUUUUCAUGAUAAAUAUUGCUCUUUAACCAAGGGCAUUUUAAUAGAUUUCCCUUUCCAACGAGAUCUAAUUCCUUCCAGUGUUUCUGUGUAUUACAUUAGAUGCUGCUUUGUUACUCCCAUCCCAGACCUGCCAUCCAAAACAGGGUAGAAGUUUUGCCUUAUCAAUGUUAAGUUGCCAGUGCUGGUUGAGAGGAGACUUGACAACAUCCUAAAUCACCAAGAGCUACUCUGCUGCUUUUGGAUUAACUGUGGUUAAUGUAAGUGCUCAGGAGAGUCCCAAGGGCACUGUGCCCCAGCUUGCUGGUGCCAGGAGGCUCUUUCCUAGGACCAGAGAGACAAAUAAAACCAGACUCUCCCCACGGUGGACCAGGGGUCUCUUGUAAAAGUGAGUCUUUUACAGUCAUUCUUCAUGGGCACUUCAACUUCUCCUGUCUAGGCUGCGUGGAAUUCUGUGGGUUUGCAUGCAUUUGAAAAACUAAAAUUAUUUUUUUGUCGUAAAAAAUUAUAUUUUGAACAUGAUAUUGCAGGAACAAAAUAUCUAGCUAAAAAACUUGGAUCAUGACAGCAUUCUGAACUUUAUAUGGUCCCUGUCUGUCAGUGGUAACUCUUUUAUGCUUACCUGCUAAUGUGAAGUUGAAACUGUUGCUGUAUUUCAUACUAUUGGGAAAACUAUUAUUAGCUUUGCAUUUAUAGGUUCCAGAGUCAGUAGAGGAAUUGACAAAUAGAAAAAUCACAGCUGCUUCCCUCUCAUGCAUCAUCACUGGGGGAGAGAUACUUUGUUUUCCCUUGAAGAAUAUGUAAGUGAUGGGAAGAGAUCCAUUCUCGGAGAAACAAGACAGGGUCACGUUCUGGCCUUUCGUUGUUUGAGAGGUGGGUGAGCUCAGCACUGGUUUGGAAAUUGGCUCUGACAAAAGAAAACUGAAAAGGCUCAGUCACUGAGUACAGGACAAGCUCCAAGCAAGACUCAGAGUUAAGCAACAAAAUGAGGUGAGCAUCAAGGAUGGAGGGUUUGGUGAGCCAGGGCAGGGCAGCACUGCUGACUCGUGAGGGAAUAACAGCCAUCUGCAGUAAAGGUCAGCUCCUCAGGCAAGACUGUGCCCAUAAAAUAAAGAGUGCUGGGAAGGUGCCCAGCCAGACAUACCUAUAAGGGUGAAGUUGAGGCUGUUGCUGUAUUUUCCAUCACUGGAGGUGUUGUGCUCAGCUUUGCAUUUGUAGGGACCCAGGUCGCUGGCAGAGCUGAUAGUCAAGGUAAACAAUGCAGGGCUCGAGUCUGACCUGUUCAAAGAGGAUACCUGCUGGUUGUGUUUGAACAAGGUGUAUCUGACAGGUGGAGAUCCAGAGGCAGAGCAGCAGCAGAGGGUCACGUUCUGGUUCAUCACCACGUUCAAACUCCUCUGAACCAGUUCGAGCUUGGGGUUGGACAGGAUCCCUGGAAAGGAGAAACUUCUGAGUGAGUUGACUGCACCUAUCACCCAAAAAACUCCGAGAUUUUUCCCCAAAUAUGUUGAGAACCAAGCUAUAUUUAUUUCUGUUGAAAUAGGGCAUUAUAUACUUUUUUCCACCUCCAAUAACAGGCAACUCAAGUUCAUACUUUUUAAAACCAGUAUGCAGCUUCACACAUGACAAAAAGUGCAUGUCUUCAUGCAAAAGAGGGCACAGCCACACAAAGCCCACAGAUGUGUCCAGGAGAACCAACAAAAAUACUUUUGAACUACAGCUGCAAUUAAAAUAAUAGAAGUACAAAAGAUAAAUCAAACAUUAGGAGUGUUAAUGGUAGGAGAGAAUAACCUUAUAUGCUAUAUGAAAGGUAGCAUGUGAACCUGAAAGCAAAAGCAGUAUUUUAUUUGUGGCUGUAUGUAAAAAGGCAGAAUUAACCUUGUGUAAGCAGAUUGAACUUUUGAAUAGUAGCAGGGACCUUGCUGGUCUAUCCAAUUUGUUUCCUUUUAUGAUAUUAUACAAAUAAAUUUGCAGUAAAGACUUGUCUUUUCAUAGAAAAUGGUAGUAAACUACUCAUAACUAAAAUAACAUUUCUAGUGGGAAAAAAUAUUUUAACAACUUAAAGCAAUUUUGACUGUACAGACAGGUCAGCAAAGAGACUGUUAACUUUGUAUAGAAACUUGUAAACUGCCUCACCACAGACAGGCAAAAGAUUUAAUUAUACAUGAACUUUUCGGACAUUUUUAAAUCCCUUCCCCGCUUUUUGGUUAACAGUCAAUUGCAGCACAUAUCUCAAAAUCAACAAAAAUGAACUUACCUUUGCCACUUGCAGUAGUUUUCUGUAUCUGGUGAGACAUUUGAGCUAAGAGAAGAAAAAGAAAAGCUUUCAGGUGAGAAACAGUGGUUCUGGUUUAGAAAGAUUUGGAGUAGGAAAGAAGCUUGUCCUUGGCUUACGGCAGGAAAACAGCAGAAUUGUGAGAAGAAACAUUUUCUUGUACUGGGCAAGAGAGCUGGAGGAGUUACAUGACAGAUCUUUCUUUCAAAAGAGAUCGAGGAGUGGCUCCAGGGCUUGAGGAAGUUCUAUAUAUGGAAACAGUGCUGAUCUCUACUGAUGUUUCUGUGAAGAGUUUUUUGUCAUGUUCCAUGCACAUUUAGCCUGUGGCAGGCAGGGUAGUGACAGAGUGAGGAGCAGCAGUUUGGGAUGCAGGUAAAUGUUGCCUAGAGUUGUUCUAGGACACAGUCAGCAGUUUUCCAUGUGAGUUGGGUGGUAGAACCAUGCUGCCAUGUAUGGAAUCAUAGAAUCACUGAGGUUGGAAGAGAACUCUCAGAUCAUUGAGUCCGACCAUUGCCAGGUCCACCACUAAACCAUGUCCCCAAGUGCCACAUCUACAUAUGUUUUAAAUCCCUCCAGGGUUGGUGAUCCCACCACUUCCUGGGGCAGCCUGGGCUUAACAGCCUUUCCUAUGAAGAAAUUUUUCCUAAUAUCCAGUAUAAACCUCCGCUGGUACAACUUGAGGCUGUUUCCUCUUGUCCUAUCACUUGUUACUAGGGAGAAGAGACCAACCCCCAUCUGGCUACAACCUCCUUUGGGUAGUUUUUCUGGUACUGUUCUUAAAAGGGAAUGAGAUCAAUCACCAAUCCGUAUCAAAAAGUCACAUGUUUGCCACAGAUAGUGCAAGUGAUCAUAUGGCUGAGACUAAGGAAGUAUGUGGUACUGAGUGUUUUUUAGCAGCAAUAUAAUUUAAAAAAGCAGUCCAGAAAAAAGAGAGUAUCAAAUUUAGAGAAGUUUUAGGAUGAUAAUAAAUACUUAUAGCUAGCCAGUGUGUUUGGAAAAUAUUUUGGUCAAACUUCAAAUGUGAAGCUGUGAGGAAGUGAGACCUUGUAUUAGAUGCUACAGAUCUUAUAAAGAACUUGAGUUCAACAGCACUGCAUAAACAAACUUGAUGACUAAUUUGAUGAGCUAAUCCGUAAUACAAAUUACAGUCUUGGCAAGUAGAUGUUCUUUCCUUGUCAUCCUCUGGACAAAGUAAGUGUAAUCAUCAGCCAUACACAGGCAGUGCCUUCUGAGGGGCUCCAGGCCCUGUUGUAUAUGAGGAGGUAAUUGCUUACACAGAACAUGCCUUAAAAGAGUUGUUGUGAUCCUCAUCUUAUUUCCUGUUUCUUAGUUUCCAGUCUCUGAAGGCAGCAAGGCAGUCUGGAGGUGUAAUACAGGAUCCCUCUCAAAUCCUCGGCUCUUGCAGCAUUGCAAAACUUCCUCACAGAAUGUGUGUGCACUUCCUUCCUCCUUGUUUUUCUUUUCUUUUUAAUUUUAGGGGUGGAGGGGAUUUGUUUUGUUUUGUUUUUUUAAUUUCUUCUAAGACAAUCUCCACCCUCCCCUCACAAAUGUUUCUGGUUUGGAAAUGCUGACAGCAAACCACAAGGGCGGAACAUCUUUUCACAGCUGUCAGGAAGCACAUGUGAAAAUGCAGCUGUUGGGGGAAGAACUGUUGGGGUGUUUGUGCAUUUUCCUGUUGUGGGAGCCUGUUCUUGUCAGAAACACACACACACAGUCCCUGAGACACUGGCGGCCCGGGAUGGUGUCCCCUCAGAGAUGGGUGUGUCCCCUCAGAGGCCUUGGAGGUGCUCACCCACCACCCAAUGCUUUUUUCUUUCUAAGAAGCUGCUUCAUGUUGUGUGUGGGCAAUGGGGAAUGGUUACAGAGCAAAUGAGCUGUGAAUUUGGCCGUGCCUUUCAAAAAAUAAAAGUCUGGUAGUCACCAGGAUCUCUCAUCUACAGCAGCUUCAGUGGUGUUUGUGCAGGUUCCCUCGGGAUGCACAGCCUGGGGGUCCAAAGAGGACGAGUCCAAAGGCCUGGUUUCUGUUUGGAAUUGAGUUUACUUCCAUGCUGAUUGUUUUUCUGGCAGGGCUGACUAUUGACUUUGGACUAAGGUGAUGUUGCUUUGUUCAGCAUGUACACAGAGAGUUUUAUGCCAACAGUAAGAUAUUGUGUAAGCUCAGAGUUCCCUUUUUAUUAGAUGUACAAAUUUUCUGCCUGCAAUUAAUGUGGCUGUACAUGUAAGAAGAACUGAAUAAAUUUAGCAAAGAGUAAUGAACAUGACAUUACAGAACAGAAGCCAUCCAGCCAAAACAAGUAAGUUAAAAAGUCAGAAAGGGAAAUACGUAUCACUUGGUGCUGUGACAAUAUUCUGCCUCAAGCGAGCAGGUGGAAGAGAAUAAAACCCAAACUGAGCUUUCAUUCACAAGGUCAGUGAAGGCUUGAGAAUGUAAAUAGUGUGAUAGUGUUCUGUAGUAAGGCUGUGAAAGCUUCACACUGUGUCUGUUCAAUCACAGGCUUCCAGGGAAAUUUGCAUUUUUCAGCAGAAUUAUGAAAGUUAUUCCCAGCCCCAGUUUCUCAUCCUGAGAGGUUCUGGAGGAGCAUCUGCUACAGUAGAUAUCUGCAGAAGGUUUGCUAGAAAUCACCAUGUACUGACAGCUAUGUCUGGUGAUGAAUUAAAUUAAGGCUCUGUUUUGUCUGCAGAAAGGUUUUAGUGAAAUAGCUUGAUCCUCACUGAAUACCGUAUUUUUACACUCCUGUAAAAAUAGCUGUGGGAGCCAGUCUGCUGUUUAUUUUAACUACUUGAUGUUUGUGAGAGGAUUGUUUUUCUGGAGGACAAUUAAGAGUAGAAGAGGAAAUUAUCUCUUCUAUAUGGAUAUUUAAGGUAGCUUUAAAUUUCUUGCAGUGAUGCUCAGGUUCUGAAUGAGAAUUUUGUUGUAGUGACUGGUUUUCAAUUAACUGCAGGUUGCAAAGGACAUGUCAGCAGGUGAAAGGAACUUUUGGGCACCCAGUUUGAUAACCUAGCAGCUCCUGCAUCUCCCAGAGAUGAAAUGUG